rnacentral:lncRNA from 1 species
UUGUAGAGAAAUAUAUAAGGUAGAGCUCUGCAGUGUGUCACAUGUUUUUGCACAGAUUUGUGUUCCACAUGUAUGGCCUUGAAGGAAUUGUUAUAGGAAAUGGGUAAAAGAGAUACAUGUGAAAAAGAAAAGAAAUGACCUCAGGAAAGACAAGGUACAGCAGGUACAAGUUCUUAAGACAUUCAUGGAAACAUCAGAGUUCAGCAGCUUCUUGAAACAGGUACAUGUAUAUACCGUGGUUACAGAUUUGCAGUAUCAGCCAGCAUCCCCAGACUUUCUUAAUAUAGGACCAACACAAUCAGACAAGUUGGCAAGAUGAUUUUACGUUCAAGAGUGGUGACAUUCUGCCCAAGAUUCUAGUCUGGAGAUACCAUCAGCUGAUCUUAGAAUCUUUUUUAAGAUUUAAGUUUAAAAAUGUGACAUUGACUUAAGACUACAUGUAUACUGCUUUCAGUCAAAGGCUUUUCUCUGUUUUGUUUUUUUAUCAACAUAUUAAGAUCUGGAAAAUAACUGUAUUGGAGACAAGUUUGUAUGACAAAAUGAAAUAAACCUUUUUAUGUUAAAAAUAUUUUUUUUAUAUAUAUUAAAUACUUAUGAAGUGACUUUAUCAUGACUUUAAGAUAUGCAAGAUUACAGUGGUUGCUUUUUUAAAUGUUUUCAGGAAGUGCAAAAAACUUCCUUAUUUAACAAGAAACAGCUUUUUCAACCGUAACAUAUGUUAAAACACAUUAGAUGGACUUUUACAAAGAAAAUUGUUAAUUAUGUCAAGAGUUAUAUAGAUCCUAGCUAUAUGACUUAUUUUUACUUUCAACUGUAUUGCAUGACUUUUGUAAGUUUGAGCAGUUGAGUUAUUAACCGCAAAAAUAUUGUAAGUGACUUCCUAGUUUUUGGCAAGCUGAUCUAUUCCAUCUGUAUUCUUGAAGUUUACUGCUAAAGAGUAAUAAUUAAAACUGGAAAAGAUGCUUUUCUAACUUUUACUUUUGAAAAUUUUGAGCAAUUUUUUUCGUAAACUGAAGAAUCUGGAAACUACAUGAUACAUUAUUUAUUAUUACAUAAUUCCUUUUAUUAUAUACCUGUAUAAAUUCUGUCAAACUUACAGCUUGUAUUUUACAAUUAAAUAUGAACAGGCAGAAAAAAAUCCUUAUUGUCCUUUUUGUAUUGCAUGUUGCUGGACUACUUUCAUUUAAUAUGCAUGACCCGACACAUUUCUAUAGAUAGCGCACAUAGAAACUAUACUCUGUUCUUUUUUAACAUAGAUAAACUGUUAAAACAUUGAGGAUUUUGUUCGAUAACAAAACAACAAACAGAAAGGUGGAGGUAUAUAAUAAAAGGGUCAUUGUAACUGUAGCUAGAUCUGGAAUUUGUAUUCGGCUCUCAUGGAUUCUUCCAAGUUUGAUGGCACUUAGCGCUUGUGUGCACCUCGUGUUAUUCGACUUGGCAAAAUUCCCUCAAGCCGAAUACCGCAUCCAAGAUCAAGCUACUGUUUUAAUAACCCUAUUGUAUAAAUUGCUGGUCCAUAGUUUGUGCUGUUGGCCAGUAUAUAUAUAGUCCAACACUAAAGUUUGCUUGGCUAAAGUCAAAAUUAGUUGUAUAAUACCAGUAUGAAUGGUUUAUAAUCACACAUGUUUUUACUGAUAAAUAAGUCAAACAUUUAAAAAUGGAAGUGUGUAUAAUAAAGCACUUAUUGAAUGACUUGCCAAUCAAUAGUCAAAACUUUUGGACCUCGGACAAUAGUUUGGACUAUUGACUAGCAAGUAAUUCAUUGGGUAUGUACCAUUGACCUUUGGUCCUCAGACAAUAGUUUGGACUAUUGACUAGCAAGUAAUUCAAUGGGUAUGUACCAUUGACCUUUGGUCCUCAGACAAUAGUUUGGACUAUUGACUAGCAAGUUAUUCAAUGGGUAUGUACCAUUGACCUUUGGACAUCAGACAAUAGUUUGGACUAUUGACUAGCAAGUUAUUCAAUGGGUAUGCACCAUUGACCUUUGGACCUCAGACAAUAAUUUGGACUAUUGACUAGCAAGUAAUUCAGUGGGUAUGUACCAUUGACCUUUGGUCCUCUGGCAAUAGUUUGGACUAUUGACUAGCAAGUAAUUCAGUGGGUAUGUACCAUUGACCUUUGGUCCUCUGGCAAUAGUUUGGACUAUUGACUAGCAAGUAAUUCAGUGGGUAUGUACCAUUGACCUUUGGACCUCAGACAAUAGUUUGGACUAUUGACUAGCAAGUAAUUCAGUGGGUAUGUACCAUUGACCUUUGGACCUCAGACAAUAGUUUGGACUAUUGACUAGCAAGUAAUUCAAUGGGUAUGUAACAUUGACCUUUGGACCUCAGACAAUAUUUUGGACUAUUGACUAGCAAGUAAUUCAAUGGGUAUGUACCAUUGACCUUUGGACCUCAGACAAUAGUUUGGACUAUUGACUAGCAAGUAAUUCACUGGGUAUGUACCAUUGACCUUUGGACCUCAGACAAUAGUUUGGACUAUUGACUAGCAAGUAAUUCAAUGGGUAUGUACCAUUGACCUUUGGACUUCAGACAAUAGUUUGGACUAUGGACUAGUAAGUAAUUCACUGGGUAUGUACCAUUGACCUUAGGACCUCAGACAGUAGUUUGGACUAUUGUCUAGCAAGUAAUUCAGUGGGUCUGUACCAUUGACCUUUGGUCCUCUGGCAAUAGUUUGGACUAUCGACUAGCAAGUAAUUCAAUGGGAAUGUACCAUUGACCUUUGGUCCUCUGAAAAUAGUUUGGACUAUUGACUAGCAAGUCAUUCAGUGGGUCUGUACCAUUGACCUUUGGUCCUCUGGCAAUAGUUUGGACUAUUGACUAGCAAGUAAUUCAAUGGGUAUGUACCAUUGAACUUUGGCCCUCUGACAAUAGUUUGGACUAUUGACUAGCAAGUCAUUCAAUGGGUAUGUACCAUUGACCUUUGGCCCUCUGACAAUAGUCUGGACUAUUGACUAGCAAGUCAUUCAAUGGGUAUAUAUUAUUGACUUUCGGUCCUCUGGCAAAACUGUACAUGUAUCAACUUAAGUAGUCAAUGGUUAAAAUUAUACAGCCAAAUAAAUCACUAUAGAGCCUCAUCAGAAAACUAUUGAUGGAGACAAAGGCAUUGGUAAUAGGAUACUGAUGGUGGUCAGUAGUCAUUUUCCAAGGUUGAAUAAUUUAAACCCAAUGACCAAUUUAAAGGUAAUUAGUUGUUUUAUUAUAUUGAACAAUGGUAGCAAGAAUUACAAAGGAAGAACAUUUAAUGUUGUUCAGUGCCAGCUUGAUAUUUUGCAUGUUGAAUUUACGUCAUUUCCAUUAUUGUUUUGGUUUCCAGGCAGUAUGUUGGUAAAAUUAAAGUUAGAAUUAUUAUAAUAAGGUCGUUGGUUGCAUUUGCUUAGAUUGCCUGAGCACAAAAAGUUCCCAAUGAGCCAUUAUGAUCAACCUGUGUCCUUAGUCUGUCAUCAUUGUCUGUCAUCAACAAUUUAACUAGAGGUCACAAUUUUGUCCAGAUCUUAAUGAAAAUGGAUAAGAAUGCUAACCGUCAAUAAAAUCUGGACAAGGGGCAUUGAGUAUGAAACACUAGGUCAUGAAGUCGACUAAUUUGAAAACUUUGCUAACACUCUAGAGGCCACAUUUCCUACACCCUACUCAUAAAACUUUGUCAGAAUGUUUGCAUGGACAUACCACAUUCUUUACUUGAUUUUCAUAAAGCUUUGUCAGAAUAUCAAUAUGAAGUUUAGAUCAGGUUCAAAACUUGGUUUCCAGAUGUCAAAAACUAAGUUAAUAAGUUAAAUCAUAGAAAAACCUCAUUGACACUCUAGAGGCUGCAUUUUCUGCUUGAUCAUGAUAAAUCGUAAAAGAGAGGUUGAA